rnacentral:rRNA from 1 species
GACUCCACGAAGUUGGAUUCGCUAGUAAUCGCGCAUCAGCCAUGGCGCGGUGAAUACGUUCCCGGGCCUUGUACACACCGCCCGUCAAGCCAUGGGAGCCGGGGGCGCCUGAAGUCCGGGACCGCGAGGACCGGCCUAGGGCGAAACUGGUAACUGGGGCUAAGUCGUAACAAGGUAAC